CAGUAAGUAUUUUAUAAAAAAUUUUAGUUUUGGAGACUAAAGAAGAAAUUUUUUCUUUACUGA
rnacentral:tRNA from 1 species